rnacentral:rRNA from 1 species
AUUGAACGCUGGCGGCAUGCUUUACACAUGCAAGUCGAACGGUAACAGGUCUUCGGAUGCUGACGAGUGGCGAACGGGUGAGUAAUACAUCGGAACGUGCCCGAGAGUGGGGGAUAACGAGGCGAAAGCUUUGCUAAUACCGCAUACGAUCUCAGGAUGAAAGCAGGGGACCGCAAGGCCUUGCGCUCACGGAGCGGCCGAUGGCAGAUUAGGUAGUUGGUGGGAUAAAAGCUUACCAAGCCGACGAUCUGUAGCUGGUCCGAGAGGACGACCGGCCACACUGGGACUGAGACAGGGGCCAGACUCCUACGGGAGGCAGCAGUGGGGAAUUUUGGACAAUGGGCGCAAGCAUGAUCCAGCCAUGCCGCGUGCAGGAUGAAGGACUUCGGGUUGUAAACUGCUUUUGUACGGAACGAAAAGACUCUGGUUAAUACCUGGGGUCCAUGACGGUACCGUAAGAAUAAGCACCGGCUAACUACGUGCCAGCAGCCGCGGUAAAAC